rnacentral:lncRNA from 1 species
UAAGCUGCGGGAGGAAAAGAGAUAAAAUCAAGGCUUAAAGUGCCUAUCGGUAUGACCCGCGCGUAUCUAUCUUACCGUAUCGUGCCAACAAGAUAUCGACACGAUACAGCUCCCAAGACAAUGAACAACUCAAAACCCUCUAUUAUUGAAAUUAGUACGUAAUUUUCUCAAUAAAGUUUAAAAAUUUUGAUAAAAAUAUAUAAUAAGUAAUCGGCAUAUAUGUUGUUACUAAAAAAAUAUAUAGAUUUCACAUCAUUACGUGUCGGCACGCAUAUAUUUUUUGCAACCGACAUUUAUCGGCACUACUCGGCACACGCCAUAUCAUACUGUGCCGGCAAGUUUCCGGCACGAUUUCGUAUCACGAUACUUAAAUCCUUGAAUAAAAUACAUAAUAAAAAUAUACCCACUUAUAU